GCUUGUCUCAAAGAUUAAGCCAUGCAUGUCUAAGUAUAAACGAAUUUAUACUGUGAAACUGCGAAUGGCUCAUUACAUCAGUUAUAGUUUAUUUGAUGGUCCUUGCUACUUGGAUAACCGUAGUAAUUCUAGAGCUAAUACAUGCAUAAAACCCUAACUUCUGGAAAGGGUGUAUUUAUUAGAUAAAAAACCAACGCCCUUCGGGGCUCCUUGGUGAAUCAUAAUAACUUAACGAAUCGCAUGGCCUUGCGCCGGCGAUGGUUCAUUCAAAUUUCUGCCCUAUCAACUUUCGAUGGUAGGAUAGUGGCCUACCAUGGUGGCAACGGGUAACGGGGAAUUAGGGUUCGAUUCCGGAGAGGGAGCCUGAGAAACGGCUACCACAUCCAAGGAAGGCAGCAGG
rnacentral:rRNA from 1 species